UUGUGCGUAGAGACCGUGCCAGCAGUGCGCAAUUGCGCACGCGCGCAGCUUAGAGGGAACAUCGGAAGACUGAGGGCUAUUUCUUUCUUUUUUACAAUACUGGAUUUAGAUUUAUUUUACUUUCUUAUAAUAACCUUAUUACAGACAUAAUAAAAUGAGCUUUGUCAUCGCACGAGAUUUGAACCUUUAAGAUUAUCUGAUUAUCCUAUUGCUUGUAACCUAGCAAAGUAUCGAUGUCCGUGCAAAGAAUUUCAUACAUGCACACGCCGCCGACUCAACUCAAUAUAACCCUGAGUAAAAAAGAAAACAAAAACAAAAAACACAGCACACAUAUUCAGGUAUCGGUCCUAUUUAGUGUCCCAAAUAAUUUUAUUAAAACAAUUUCACCCCUGAUGAGGUAUUUUGGUUUUGUGCAGCCACUCCUUCUCAGACCAAAGUUAAGUGAGGUAAAGAGCUUUUCUUCAUUUUUGAGAUGUACUUUUACAACAAGGAAGCAGGUCUUCACAUUAGCAGAAAUGCUCAAUAGACAGAAAAACAGAACCCUAAAAGAAAAUUACCCUGAGAUUAAGGGAAACGGCCUUGUUUUACGCACACCACGGGUCAAGAAGGAGUCAGACGACCGACAAUAGGAUCGCUUCAUCCCGGUCAAUUACCUCCGAGAGCUCGGGAUGCUUCAACUCCCUCUGUCGGAUACCAUAAGCGUAUAAGAAAAAACCCCCGGAGAAUUUACAACUUUUUAAAAGAGAGAGAGAGAGCGAGAGAGAGAGAGAGAGAGCAAAUCGAUCAAACUUUUCUACAGCACGUUAUACCACUCCGGGUCGAGAGGAGCGAUAUAGCAUGGACCGGUUGAAUGACUAUGUCGGAUCGAAGCAUGACCGAAAGCGUGGCAGGGAUUUUCCCUUUGAACUUCUUCCUGUUCCAUGAUUAACCUCCAACUGUUAAAUGUUUCCUCAAUAUUGCUCUAUUUAUUCUGCACAGAGCGUUUCCGGUGUGGCUCAUGCAAAAGAGAAUUGCAACAACACAGCAUGUUUCUCUUCUCCCUUUCACACAGUAAGUAUGUCUGUUGUAGACUGCGCUUUAUAAAUGUCUCUUUGAUUAUUCAAUCAGUCUUUGAAAACUUUAUCGUCAUCACCAGCAUGCUUUGUACCUCAGGCUCAUCAGAGACAAUCGUAUCCAGGUAAAAUAAUUUUCUUUAAUCUACACACUUUUAGGAAUUAAUUAGCUAAUUUCAUGGAUAAUUUCAGUGACUGAAUUAUUGCCGGUCAUUCGUACAUUUACUUUAUUAUAUAAAAUAUAUAAAUUAAAUCUCUUUGAAACUUUUAGAAUCUAAUCUGUUGGUUUCUUUUUUUCAUAGCAUUUUAUCAAAGUGUUGUCUGCUACAAAGUUAAAAGUAUUGUACUAGUAGUAAUAUAGCAUCCACCAUCUCCUGCUUGCAUAUUUCUGAAAACAUGUUAGUGGUGUGGCAGCCAUGGAUUGAGCUAGCCCUGCAAACCCUGUGGAUGGACGAUGCAGUGGACAGUGGGAGGAAGCAUCCUGAAGCUCUCUUUGCAGACCACUGUGUGUGAUUCUCCACUCGCCGACCAGAAAAGACAAACGGCAGGUCUCAGUUGCAGCACCUCAUCCAUCCAUGUCUGAUCCUGCAUCAGCAGAUUCAGCAACACAGCCAGAGACUUCCUGUAAUCUAUUACAGUUGUUAAAAAAAAAAAACGGUCCAGGAACAGGUCACUCAGGUUAAUCCUGUAUAAACAACUGAUAUUGUUUUUCCUUCUUUAAAUAUUGUUGGCUUAUUAGAAAUAUUCUUGUUCAAUUGUUGUUGUUAUUUACUUUAUUGCCAUCAAAUAAAUAUCCAUGUAAAAUUGUCCAAAGUUAGCAUUAUGUUCAUACAUGUUAAAAAUACCUGAAAAUAAAAUGAGUUCAGUGACA